ACCGUUUCAGAUGUGGGGUAAACCUUGUUUGUUUUUAGUAACCUGAUACAUUCAGUGGCGAGUUCCAUACCAACACGAUUUUUGGAGGGUGGGGGUUUCAAACCAAUAAUUUACUGGAUGACACUUUUCCUGCUCCUGAGAGAUCCUAAAAGAUGGAGAUUUUUCUCGCAUUUGGCCUAGGACUAUACACCGACAACCCAACCCGUUUAAACUUACGUCCGAUAUACCUUAUACACACAGGCCGUAAAGGUCAUAUACGAAACCUGAAAGGCACUAGGUCCAUAUCACCUUAAUUAUACUACUCAGAGGCAGUUUGGGACUACCGAUUCUCUAAUCGAUCCAUCAUGUAUAGUAAUAAUAUAGAAACAGGUUGCCCUUUAACCUUUUUUGAGUAGUAUAGUUAAGUAUAUUUAGUGAUGUAAUACGAUCGCAGUUACAUUUGCUCUCAAUGUCUUAUUCGUGAAGUGUUAUUAGCAGAGACAGGCUAAGGUUCAUCCUACCUAGGUGGCUACUGUGAACACGUAUAGUCAUACCUAAUACCUACAUACUUGGAUGUAUGCAUGGUAUUUGAUACUGCUGUGUAAACAGGGUGUACGAAAUAUGAAGAAGUAUCACCGUACACGUGACAUGGCCGCGAUACAGGUCACGUUAAAAUAUUCCAGUUACAAGGAUAUCUUCGUUACAGGAGCCCUGACACACCUCGUGGCAUCACAGGUUACGAUAGAGAACAAUGAGUACACUAUCGUGUGUAUGUCUGCUGGCUUGCGUGGCAUUGACUCUGACUUACCAGCCGUAAGUAACCGCUCUUCCACUUAGUCGACAUGGAAGGGAACUGGCUAUUUGAUUGAUGGCAAGUGUAUAUAGAGGGAGGGUUAUUCUGUGCCUUAACAGGUGCUUUGACUGUUCUCUGUGAUGAAAAGAAUGAGGUCAAUUAACUUAGAAUCAUGUUUUACAAAAUCGGACUUAUUCGUUGCAAAAGAUAUUUUAUUUCUGAUAUCAAUCUGAUUCCUAACGAAUUUGAUAUUUGUUUUAAAUCAUGUGCAUUUCAUAGUGUACAUAUGACAAUGCCUAAUGAAUAUACUAUUUGUUUUCUUCACGUUCUUCAACGCACUUGUUUGAAGAAGUCAACGUUAUGAGUUGUAGUUUGUACAAUGUAUUUUGUACAUUCACACUGAAUACGGAUAAAGGCAAUGUAAAAGUCGCUUCAAAAUAGAUUUAAAGCAGUUAAAAUAGUCCAUGACAGCAGUACACAAACAUUUUAGAUAAGUUACACAUUUUAACACUGAAUACAAAAGCGAUAAUUGAUUCCAGUAAUGAAACGUUAUCUUUCAGAGGUGCUAACUAUCAAUGUUGCAUGUGCGGCCCUAAUGUCACUGUUACCAUGGAGGUGCAGAACAGCCUCAAGCCACCGAUGUUCCAGUCUUCUGUCAAACUUGGGAUGCCUCAGAGAGAACUAAUCCACUUUCUUCAAGCGGCCGUCGCCAUCGACCCGCAUUUCCAUUUUACAGCUGAGUAUUAUGCAAAACCAAACGCAACCGGAUAUGACGUGUUGAGCAUGAACAAGGUGGCUGGGAGUGCCACAGACAGGACAUACUGGGAGAUCUUGGACAACGGAGUGGCUACAGCAGGUGUCAGUGAGUACGUACCGAAAGACGGCUCUGUGAUCUCCUUCAAUUUUACCUCAUACUAGACCUGUUGAUUUCACCAAGCUGAAGACAAUACCUGAUUUCCAUAAUUCACAAAAUAAAAGUCUCUCAUUAUCCAUGUACAGCGGACUAAAGCGAGAUUCUUCCAGAUAUUGUCAUAUUUCUAUUCAGUUAUGCACUACGGAUCAUGUCAAGGCCUGAGGGAGAAUUCACUUUAAUGCUUGUCAAGAGUAAUGUUGUGGAAUUAUUUAAACUAUGAACUAAUACAUUGUUAGACAUAUUUUAGUGUGUUGUGUUUCUGUACAUGAAAUAAAUGUUUGUGAGAAACAAAACGAAAAUUA